UAAAAAUACAAAUAUGAAAAUAUCUGUUCUUGAACUUUUGAUGAGAUAUAUUAGGAAUAGGAAUUUUAUCAUGUCAUUGCUUAUUUACUUAUAUCAGGAAGUCGAGUGAAAAGGGUUUAACAAACCAAUGUCAAAUACAAGACACUUCUUUGUGGAGUCUGCUGUCAUUUGUGAUGAUACUGUCUUGUCUGGGCAGCAAAUUUGUCCAUUAGAUCUAUGUUCACAGCAGAGAUGCAUGCUAUCUAUCUAACACUAAAAUACAUUAGGACAAGAAACCACUAUUGAAGCACAAUUUAGUCUGUCUCACUGAGUACACUACAGCAUUCAUCUCAUGGAAUUUUUCUCCACAUCCAAUUGUUUUCAUUGUUUGGCUUCUCUGUCUCACUUGUUAUCAUGGAAAUAUGUAAUCAAGUUCUGUUUGAUCUCAGAUCAUGUUGUCAUUAAGAGAAAUGAACUGGUUGAUAUUGCUGCCAAGUUGGCCUCUCCAAAUACUUCACAUCAUUUGCUAGUCCCUUUCAGCAAUUUGAAGCCCAUUAUUAAACAGAAGCUAUUUUUUUCUAUGGCAGGAUAUGUAGGAUAAACAAAUCAACAACAUAUUUCCGUUAAACUGCUUCCU
rnacentral:lncRNA from 1 species